CUGUAUUAUGUACAAAAAAUAUUCAUGAUGAUAUUUUGAUUGAACUUUUCAUGCUUCAAUUAAUAUUGAGCUUAAAAUUAUUUAAUAUUUGAUACUUUUGUAUUCAUUUUCUAACAUUAUUUUCUAUAACUCGCCAUAGAAAAUGAGUAUACUGUUAUAAAUAUUUAAAUAGUUUGGUAAUGAUACUGUGCAUAUCUAAUCAAAACAUCACUGAAAUAUCUGCUGUGCUCUGCUUAUCUGAAUUGUUCUCUACUUUUGUGUGUUUCCAGACUCAUUUUAAUUGCUAAAUCCACACAGAGCAGUUUGUGAGAUCAGCUCAAGUUUUGCAUUCUGUUCAGGAGUCUGUGUUGUCGUCCCUUGUGUAGUGGUUAAAUUUAGGAUAGAAAUGCGAUAAGAGUGGAUCAGCUUGAAACCAGAACUCCACCCAGCCCUGGUUAGAGAGCCGACCGGUCCGUCUCGGUGCACUGAGGACACACCGUGACCCUGUAAACAAUAGAAACACAGCAAACACUGACCCAACCCCCUCUGUGCUGCAUGUGCAUUGAUUAUAUUCUGCUGUCAGCCGUCUCAAGUGUGCACGACGAUGCACACACACACGUGCACACAUGCAAGCGCACCAGCUGAUCUGCCGUUAUUGUUUUGCACCUGUCACAGAGGCUUCAAACGGUGUGUGUGAGCAUAUUAUUAUCUGACAUUCAUAUUUAAUUGUUGCUUUGACUGCGGGUGAACGUUGAGGUUAAACUGUCUUGAUUUGAGAGCCGUUUCUGCACGACUGUGACGUUUGGCACAUGCUUUUCUCAGAGAGAGAGAGAGAGAGAACGAGAGGGGAAGGAGGAGGUCUGAAUGUCUUUUUGCAGUUCAGACCUCCACAGCCAGACACAACCAUCAACCUUUAUGACACCCAGAAAAUUGCAGAUUUACUCUAAAUUAUACACGCGUCUGGAUGCAAACAGACACGUAUGAGACCAACAGACUCUGAAAUGAUUCUCGCUUUGUUUUUUGCAUCUUUGUGGUUUUUGUGGUUGUCUUCUGUGAGCUUCAGAGCGUCUUUACCGGCACUUGAUUUAUAUUCCAGUCGAAGCACCUCAGGUUCUUGGAAUCGUUGAGGAAUUUCAUACCCUCAUUGGAAACUUUUGGAAAUAUAACAAUUGGGUCAUUGGCCAUAUUGUGGAAACCCACAGAACUGGAACGUUUGCGUGUUGUAAAUGUUCCAUUCCGAGCGUCUCCUCAUUCCUGAAGCAGAGUAUUGAAGGAAAAAGAAACAUUUGACAUUUAGUGGCCCGUUGCAUUCUGGGAGAGCCCUGUAGGGAUCAAUGAACGUUUGGGUAAUUACUGUAGCUGCCAUUGUUCUGAGGUGAGGAGGAAUCUGGGUCUGUAUGGAAAUUCAGCGUUGUUUCCAAUCCAGUGGUUCAAAGCGGAGAUGUUUGACACAUGCAAAUGAGCAGUAAUGCUGCUAUGCAUAAAUGACAAAAUAUCUCAAUUAAUCCCUGAUGGUCAUUCUUUGUACCUGUAUGGUAAACCAU
ensembl:lncRNA